rnacentral:rRNA from 1 species
AGAGUUUGAUCAUGGCUCAGAACGAACGCUGGCGGCGUGCUUAACACAUGCAAGUCGAGUGCGCGUUUCUGUAGCAAUACAGGAAUGGCGCACGGCGCACGGGUGCGUAACACGUGGGUAAUCUGCCCUCCGAUGGGGAAUAACCCCGCGAAAGCGGGGCUAAUUCCGCAUAACAUUCCUUGGACUCCGGUUCGAGGAUUCAAAGGCGUAAGUCGUCGGAGGUGGAACCCGCGCCCGAUUAGCUAGUUGGUGAGGUAACGGCUCACCAAGGCAAUGAUCGGUAGCUGGUCUGAGAGGAUGGCCAGCCACACUGGAACUGAGACACGGUCCAGACUCCUACGGGAGGCAGCAGUGGGGAAUCUUGCACAAUGGGCGAAAGCCUGAUGCAGCGACGCCGCGUGGGGGAUGAAGCUUCUCGGAGUGUAAACCCCUUUCGACCCGGACGAAUGCCCCGCAAGGGGAGUGACGGUACGGGUAUAAGAAGCCCCGGCUAACUACGUGCCAGCAGCCGCGGUAAGACGUGGGGGGCCAGCGUUGUUCGGAAUUACUGGGUGUAAAGGGUUCGUAGGCGGUGUGGCAAGUUGGGAGUGAAAUCUCUGGGCUCAACUCAGAGGCUGCUUCCAAAACUGCUGUGCUGGAGUGUGGGAGAGGCGCGUGGAAUUGCAGGUGUAGCGGUGAAAUGCGUAGAUAUCUGCAGGAACACCCGUGGCGAAAGCGGCGCGCUGGACCACUACUGACGCUGAGGAACGAAAGCUAGGGGAGCAAACAGGAUUAGAUACCCUGGUAGUCCUAGCCCUAAACGAUCAGGACUUGGGGUGCCACCCGUUCGGGUGUCGUCCCGGAGCUAACGCGUUAAGUCCUGCACCUGGGGAGUACGGUCGCAAGACUGAAACUCAAAGGAAUUGACGG